UCCGAAGCGGUGAAGGCAUGGGCAUCCGCCUGGACAGUGCAUCUGCCUUCCAGGGUGCUGUCAUUUCCCCCCACUAUGACUCCCUGCUGGUAAAAGUCAUCGCCAGCGGGAAGGACCUGCAGACAGCCGCUUCCAAGAUGAGCCGCGCUCUGGCCGAGUUCAGAGUGCGAGGGGUCAAGACUGAAAACAUACCCUGUGUCUAAAACUGACGAAUAUAUCUUUGCAAAAACACAGAAGCCUCUAGGGAGAUUGUACUAAACAUUAUCACCUAGUGCAAAUGUUUUUUUGCAGUUUGAGAAGGUGGAGGUAAUUAAAAAAAAAAAAAGAGCUGCAUGGGUUGUUCAUGUACCAGUCAUAUAAGCCAAUGAUGUCAUGAACAGCAUCACAGGUCUCCCACACCUUUACCUUACCACAAAUAUUUACACUCCUAAUCAGACAAAGCCACCCGGAGUCUGCACCCGUACAAAGAAAGUAAAAAGUCUUGGAUUCUUUGGUAUUGUGUGCUUUAUUUUUAAAACACCUUAUAAACAUGAUACUUAGUGUGGUACACAGUGGUAAAUCAGUCAGACUGGGAAAAUUGUACUAUUUUUGUUUUUGUCAGCCUAAUGAAAGUUAGUGUUAAAACAACUCUGCCACUCCAAGUACUUACUUUAACAGAUGGUUGACAAUUUGUUUAAAGCUAGUUACUGGUUCAGUUGGAUAAGAAAGAAGUACAGAAUUGAAACAUUUGUGUCUUUCAUUUUCACCCUGCAAUGGAAAAAGGUCCAUUUGCUGUCUGGAUGAGUCUGAGGUAAUUUUAAGUAACUCUUAACAGCGAAUUCACAUGUGCCUUUUUUGCCCUGUACAUUGAGAUGAAAGUUGUGUUGAGCUAUUAAUACCAUGAGCAGUGUCAACAUAGAUUUAUUACUGUGUAAAUUAAAGCAUUUAAUUUCAAGGUGAAGCCAGGGUAGUCAGUUAUCAAGGUGAGCAAGUCUUCUCAGCAGUUGAGUUGUUUUUUUGUGUAGAGAUGCUGGUAAGAUGGAAAAGCAACUAAAUAAUUUCAAAUUCUUGGAAAUGUAACAUUUAUAUAGUUGCUAAGUGAAAAGACACAUUCCAGUUAUUAAGCCUCAGUAAAGCCUAUUUAAAAGCUGAAAUGCCAGUGACAUAUUAAAAUGUUGUCUUUGUUAAACAGAGUGGCAGAAAAUGAGCAAUGAUGCUUAUUUUUAUUGUAUUUUUUUUGCACAACCAAGUAAAGAAAAGCUCUUCAUGUUCAAACAAGAAUGAAUGUCAGCAGGGGUUAAUGUAAAUUCAUUUGGAGGUGUGAGUUUACAUCCAUAGGUCAGUAAGAGUUUAUCCACUUGUGUUUGCCGUUUUGGGUACCCAUUAUACAGGAUGUGGAGUAUAAUAUUAAAAAUUAAUAAAAAUAAAUAUAUUUAUUUUUUUAUAUAAAAAAAUAAAAGAUCAGUUAAUGGUUUCAUUUAACAUUUGCUUUGCUGUAUUUCAUACAGUGUUUCUUACAUGUAGAGAGAUGAAAAUGAUGAGGUGUGAGGUGAAUAAAGGGAUAGCUGUAGCGUAGUGGAACUGAAAAUUCAGUCUGCUCAGUCAUAGUAAUUCCUCAGUCUGCUUUGAAUUAGUCAUGAUGAGGUGAAAUUGCAAGUCAAAUUGGUUUUCUCAACUCUAAUUUCUCAUUUAAGUUGGAGUGUGCUUGACAAACUGUCAGCACAGAUUUAAUAGAUAAAUGUUCCCUUCUAAUAGAGUGAGAAAGUGUUUGAUGUUAGCCAGGAUGUGAUGGGCUUGUGGACACUGUCCUUUGUCCUCUCCUCAAUUGAUUAUGUAAACACACUAGGAUGCCAACCUCUGUACCUCUCUUAUGCUGGCUGCAAUUGAAAUAAUUUUCUGCAAUGGCAACAGCUGUUUCUCAGUGUAAAAGCAGGAUUUCUUUUGGAAGGACAAAACGACAGAGGACAGUGUGUGCAACAAGAUACUGUGAGCAACCCUGGUGCAUGUGCUGAUCAGACAUGAAUUGGAGAACUUUGCAUUCUUUACCAUCAAACUAGUAUAAAAGCUUUGUAUCACAUUGACACCGGCAGAAAACGGUACAUUGAUGCAAAACACACUGGAUAACUGUUACAAGGUUUUGAAUUAAACGUGUUUCUCUGAAGACUGCUGGUGGCAGUCUGAAACUUUGA